rnacentral:rRNA from 1 species
UUGGCCUUGACAUACUAAGAACUUUCCAGAGAUGGAUUGGUGCCUUCGGGAACUUAGAUACAGGUGCUGCAUGGCUGUCGUCAGCUCGUGUCGUGAGAUGUUGGGUUAAGUCCGCAACGAGCGCAACCUUUUCCUAUUUGCCAGCGGGUAAUGCCGGGAACUUUAAGGAUACUGCCAGUGACAAACUGGAGGAAGGCGGGGACGACGUCAAGUCAUCAUGGCCCUUACGGCCAGGGCUACACACGUGCUACAAUGGUCGGUACAAAGGGUUGCUACCUCGCGAGAGGAUGCUAAUCUCAAAAAGCCGAUCGUAGUCCGGAUCGCAGUCUGCAACUCGACUGCGUGAAGUCGGAAUCGCUAGUAAUCGCGGAUCAGAAUGCCGCGGUGAAUACGUUCCCGGGCCUUGUACACACCGCCCGUCACACCAUGGGAGUUUGUUGCACCAGAAGUAGGUAGUCUAACCGCAAGGAGGACGCUUACCACGGUGUGGCCGAUGACUGGGGUGAAGUCGUAACAAGGUAGGCGUAGAUGA